rnacentral:rRNA from 1 species
UACGUAGGCAGCGAGCGUUGUUCGGAGUUACUGGGCGUAAAGGGUGCGUAGGCGGCUGUUUAAGUUUGGUGUGAAAUCUCCCGGCUCAACUGGGAGGGUGCGCCGAAUACUGAAUGACUAGAGUGCGGGAGAGGAGAGUGGAAUUCCUGGUGUAGCGGUGAAAUGCGUAGAUAUCAGGAGGAACACCGGUGGUGUAGACGGCUCUCUGGACCGUAACUGACGCUGAGGCACGAAAGCGUGGGUAGCAAACAGG